AGGGAUGUAGCGCAGCUCGGUAGCGCGUUUGUUUUGGGUACAAACGGCCGCAGGUUCGAAUCCUGUCAUCCCUA
rfam:Selaginella moellendorffii unplaced genomic scaffold SELMOscaffold_119, whole genome shotgun sequence.